rnacentral:lncRNA from 1 species
UCCACCAGCAGAGGCAUCAACCCAAUGGUAGUAAUAACAUUAACGGUACCAAUUUUUUCUGCACCAGAUGCGCAUUUUGACAAUACAUGUCUCUUAAGUGAUGCUCGUGGCCAAAAUAUUUGAAAUCCAAAGCUUAUAUAAUGGCAGUAUCAAUAUAGGCACAUCUAUUGGCCACAGAGUUAAAGGGUUCUUUAUUUUUAUAGGGCAUUCCUUAGUUAUUGGUGAUAGAACGUUUCAAAAAACUUUAUAUGCUGAUUUUGAUUUUAAAUGACCAAAUUUUUCAUGAAAACAAAUGACCGUUACAAAAAACGAAACUUUAGUAUACUAGUACUAUCUCUUCAACCUCCUAAAUUUCUUUUUUUAAAAUAGAAUAUGGUUAUAAACUUGAUAUUUGUUUAGAGCAGACUCAUUGAUCAGUGUUAUCCAACACAAUGUUAGAAUUCUUUAAAUUUGAUUUUUAAAUUUGAAAAAUAGGAAAAUUUCUGCAAUUAUAACAUAGUGACGUAUCGAGAGCAAUGAACUCUUAACACUAUGAUAUUUAUAGUUAUGUAAUUGUACAAAAUGUAUAUAGGUGCAAAUGUAUAUAUGUAUGACGAUGAUAUAAGGAAAUGACAAAAGUGAGUUUUGGAAAACGAGAACUGGAAGUAUGAGUUUGAAUGAAAAUAAACUUUGUAAAUGUGUCACAGGUGAUAUUAAAUAUUAAAUGUAUUAUGACUGAAUUAUUCUGUGUUUAAUUAUUUUAUUUAUAUUAAACUUAAUUAUUUUUUA